rnacentral:rRNA from 1 species
UACGGAGGGUGCAAGCGUUGUUCGGAAUUACUGGGCGUAAAGCGUGCGUAGGUGGUGCAUUAAGUCAGACGUGAAAGCCCUGGGCUCAACCUGGGAACUGCAUCCAAAACUACUGAGCUAGAGUACGGUAGAGGGUAGUGGAAUUUCCUGUGUAGCGGUGAAAUGCGUAGAUAUAGGAAGGAACACCAGUGGCGAAGGCGACUACCUGGACUGAUACUGACACUGAGGUGCGAAAGCGUGGGGAGCAAACAGGAUUAGAAACCCGAGUAGU